AUGUCUGAGUUAUUUUCGGAAGCUUUAGGUCUUGGAAGUGAUUAUCUAGCAAGCACAAGCACAAGAUGCUUCAGUGCAAGGUCAAUGGCGUGUCACUAUUUCCCGAUAUGUCCCCAGCCACAUUUGACCAUGGGUGGGACCAAGCAUGCUGACCUCGGGUUCCUCCAAGAUAGUGUCGGCGGCCUUCAAGUUCUUCAUCAAGAUGUUUGGAUUGAUGUUCCUCCGGUCAAGGGUGCGUUGCUGGCCAAUAUUGCUGACAUGAUGCAGAUUAUUACAAAUGGGAAGUUCAAGAGCGUGGAGCACCGAGUUCUGCUGAGAGCAACUGUAGAGCCACGUAUCUCAAUCGCAUGCUUUCUAAGCACUGAUGAUCUUGAUAGGCCAUAUGGGCCGAUAAAAGAGCUUUUAUCAGAAGACAAUAAGCCCAUUUAUGACCAAGUCAUAUUCCGUGAAUACAUGAAGAAGUAUAAACUAUAA
rnacentral:rRNA from 1 species